rnacentral:rRNA from 1 species
UACGAAGGGGGCUAGCGUUGUUCGGAAUCACUGGGCGUAAAGCGCACGCAGGCGGAUUGGUAAGUCAGGGGUGAAAUCCCGGAGCUCAACUUCGGAAUUGCCUUUGAUACUGUCUGUCUUGAGUCCGGGAGAGGUGAGUGGAAUUCCUAGUGUAGAGGUGAAAUUCGUAGAUAUUAGGAAGAACACCAGUGGCGAAGGCGGCUCACUGGCCCGGUACUGACGCUGAGGUGCGAAAGCGUGGGGAGCAAACAGG